rnacentral:rRNA from 1 species
AGCGAACGCUGGCGGCGUGCCUAACACAUGCAAGUCGAACGUGAAAGGGAGCAAUCCCAAGUAAAGUGGCGUACGGGUGAGUAACACGUAGGUAAUCUACCCCAGAAUCUGGAAUAACCGGCCGAAAGGCUGGCUAAUACUGGAUAGAGCGACGGAAUCCGUAAUUGGGUUUUUCGGGAAAGGGAGCCUGUAAAAAGGCCUUCGUUCUGGGAUGAGCCUGCGUCCCAUCAGCUAGUUGGUGAGGUAAAAGCUUACCAAGGCAAUGACGGGUAGCUGGUCUGAGAGGACGAUCAGCCACACUGGAACUGAAACACGGUCCAGACUCCUACGGGAGGCAGCAGUGGGGAAUCUUGCGCAAUGGACGAAAGUCUGACGCAGCAACGCCGCGUGAGGGAAGAAGGCCUUCGGGUUGUAAAGCUCUGUCGAGUGGGACGAAAAUGCUUGGAGUUCACAGCUCCAGGAACUGACGGUACCACUAAAGGAAGCACCGGCUAACUCCGUG